GUCCACGCCGUAAACGAUGAGAACUAGGUGUUGCGGGUAUUGACCCCUGCAGUGCCGCAGCUAACGCAUUAAGUUCUCCGCCUGGGAAGUACGGUCGCAAGACUAAAACUCAAAAGGAAUUGACGGGGCCCGCACAAGCGGUGGAGCAUGUGGUUUAAUUCGACGCAACGCGCAGAACCUUACCUGGGCUUGACAUCUGUGGAAUCUUCGUGAAAAGCGAGGAGUGCCUUGGGAGCCACAAGACAGGUGCUGCAUGGCUGUCGU
rnacentral:rRNA from 1 species